rnacentral:rRNA from 1 species
UAUUAUAUAAUAAUUAAAUUAUURUCUUAAAUAUUAAUAGUUAUGGUCUUUAAACUUAAAGAAUUUGACGGUAUUUUAUCCUUUUAGAGGAAUCUGUUCUAUAAUUGAUAAUACACGAAUAAAUUUACUUAGUUUUGUUUAGCUUGUAUAUCAUUGUCAAAAAAUUAUCUUGAAAAAAGAUUUAUUUUUAAGAAAGAAUAAUAAUUUGGAUGUCAAAUCAUGAUGCAGUAUAUAACUAAGAUAGUAAUGGAUUACAGUUUUAUGGUAAACGAAUAAAUUAUUUAAUAAAAUUAUUGAAGUUGGAUUUAAAUGUAAAUUAAUUAUAUUAUUUAAUUGAUUAAGGUUCUAAAAUAUGUACAUAUCGCCCGUCGCUCUCAUUUAAAGUGAG